CCUACGGGAGGCAGCAGUAGGGAAUCUUCCACAAUGGGCGAAAGCCUGAUGGAGCAACGCCGCGUGGGUGAAGAAGGUCUUCGGAUCGUAAAACCCUGUUGUUAGAGAAGAAAGUGCGUGAGAGUAACUGUUCACGUUUCGACGGUAUCUAACCAGACAGCCACGGCUAACUACGUGCCAGCAGCCGCGGUAAUACGUAUGUGGCAAGCGUAUCCGGAUUUAUUUGGCGGAAAGGGAACGCCGGCUGUCUUUUUAGUUUGAUGUGAAAGCCUUCGGCUUAACCGGAGUAGUGCAUUGGAAACUGGGAGACUUGAGUGCAGAAGAGGAGAGUGGAACUCCAUGUGUAGCGGUGAAAUGCGUAGAUAUAUGGAAGAACACCAGGGGCGAAAGCGGCUCUCUGGUCUGUAACUGACGCUGAGGUUCGAAAGCGUGGGUAGCAAACAGGAUUAGAUACCCCAGUAGUC
rnacentral:rRNA from 1 species